ensembl:lncRNA
GAAAACACGCCCCUUCCUUUCGUUGCUAUGGACUUCAGAGACUGUGUGCAGGUGUGAUGUGCUGCUCACAAUCAGUGCGGUGUGCCGUCAAGGCUCCCAAAUGUGUAGCAUGGUAGUUUAACGUAGCUCCGGUUGGAGCGCCAGCUGUUGCCGUCACAACUAUUAAAGAAGCUAUCAUGAUUUUCGUAUGUAGCAUGGGUCCUCGAUUUUGCAUGCGUUAAGGCGGGCCGAGUGAGAUGUGGUCAUCUCGGUAUAGCGCCUCCUCCUCACUCGUGGAGCCACGUCGCUGCUUUGGGGCUGCUUGAUUGUUUGGUUUUGCUGCUUUGGGGCUGCCUCAUUCUGUUUGGUUUUGCUGCUUGUUUUGAUUUGUUUUAUUGUUUAUGUUCUGUUUAGUUUGUUAUUUUGCAUUGUGUUGGUUACUGUCACUGAGAUCAGUUCUCUAUAAUUCAACUGUGUUGUAACAGUCUUUCAGUUAUGCUGAUACUGCUAUGUGGUAGUAGUGGUUUUGGUCAGCUUUGGUAAACUUGCUACCUGUAAUCAGUUUGAGUGUGGGGUUAUCUGUGUUUUUGUGACAGAGCUGAGUGCUUCCUGAGGCUGGGGGGAGUUCUUUGCUGCACUUUAGGCUUGACUCAAUUAAGGGUCGUUAUUAUUGUUGUGUUUAUUUGCAGUGAAUUUGGUGGGUAUGAUUCUGUACGGCUGAUUCUGAUUCGGUAUGAUUCUGUACGGUUUUUUGUACGGCUGGUGCUGUUGUACUAGCCUGCCCCUCAUACAGGAAGCCUCCGUCCUCAUAUGAUUGUUAACUUCCUCUUGUGAUUGUUUUAUUUGACCAAUGCCUGACUGCAUUGGAUGUUGUUUCUUUUAAAAUAAUUCUUGG